rnacentral:rRNA from 1 species
UAACACGUGGGGAACCUGCCCCAUAGUCUGGGAUACCACUUGGAACCAGGUGCUAAUACCGGAUAAGAAAGCAGAUCGCAUGAUCAGCUUUUAAAGGGCGGCGUAAGCUGUCGCUAUGGGAUGGCCCCGCGGUGCAUUAGUUAGUUGGUAAGGUAAAGGCUUACCAAGGCGAUGAUGCAUAGCCGAGUUUAGAGACUGAUCGGCCACAUUGGGACUUAGACACUGCCCAAACUCCUACGGGAGGCAGCAGCA